rnacentral:lncRNA from 1 species
GAGUCUGAAACAUAGUUAGUUAAUUCGGAUUCGGCAAAAAUUCGGUAUGGAUAUAAUACGUAUAAAAUUCGUUUUCUAAUCUUUAAAUUUGUUGAAAAAUUCGGCUUAAAAAACAGAUUCGGUAUAAAAUAUAAAAUAUAAGAUAAUCUAUAUUUAAAUAUAAAAAUUAUAAAUUUUUUAUUCAGAUUUUUAAUAAUUCGGAAAUAAUUCGCGAAUAAUUCGCAAAUUAUUCGCGAAUUAUUCGGCUGGCCGAAAAAUUCACGAAUAGUUUAUUUUUUUUGAAAAAAAUUCAUAUACGGACUAUUUAAUUCAGAUUUUCAAUAAUUUGCGAGUCAUUCGCGAAUUAAUUAACAAAGGUUUGAAAAGGUUGG